GAGGAUGUAGCUUAGUGGUAGAGUGCAUGUCUAGCAUGUCUGAGAUCCUGAGUUCAAGCCCCAGUACCUCCA
rnacentral:tRNA from 1 species